rnacentral:rRNA from 1 species
UAUGGAGAGUUUGAUCCUGGCUCAGGAUGAACGCUGGCGGCGUGCCUAAUACAUGCAAGUCGAGCGAACUGAAGAGGAGCUUGAUCCUUUGACGUUAGCGGCGGACGGGUGAGUUACACGUGGGUAACCUACCUAUUUGACUGGAAUAACUCCGGGAAACCGGGGCUAAUGCCGGAUCAUAUGUUGAACCGCCUGGUUCAACAGUGAAAUACGGUUUUGCUGUCACUUAUAGAUGGACUCGCGCCGCAUUAGCUAGUUGGUGAGGUAGCGGCACACAAAGGCGACGAUGCGUAGCCGACCUGAGGGGGUGAUCGGCCUCACUGGAACUGAGACACGGUCCAGACUCCUACGGGAGGCAGCAGCAGGGAAUGUUCCGCAAUGGUCGCAAGUUUGACGGAGCAACGCCGCGUGAGUGAUGAAGGUGUUUGGCCCGUAAAGCAUGGUCGUUUGGGGCGACUGAAUGUGUAAGUAAC